GGACAUGACGUGUGGCUGUCGUAAAAACCCUAUUUGUAAACAACCAGUCCUUUUAACUCGGGGCUGCGUCAUAAACACGGAGCGCUUGGAAGACCACGAUGUCAUCUUCCUUCUGUCAGGAGGAUCAAAGUGAAGCUACAGGAGUUUCAUUAACGUCAACAACUUGGAACCGAACAGUUUGUUUGCUUGAUGAAGA